rnacentral:rRNA from 1 species
UACGGAGUGUGCAAGCGUUACUCGGAAUCACUGGGCAUAAAGCGCACGUAGGCGGAAUAAGAAGUCGGUUGUGAAAUCCCUCAGCUCAACUGAGGAACUGCAUCUGAUACUCUUAUCCUUGAGGACGAGAGGGGAGAGUGGAACUUCUGGUGAAGCGGUGAAAUGCGUAGAUAUCAGAAGGAACGCCGGUGGCGAAAGCGACUCUCUGGCUCGUUUCUGACGCUGAGGUGCGAAAGCUUGGGUAGCAAACGGG